AGCAGCCGCGGUAAUUCCAGCUCCAAUAGCGUAUAUUAAAGUUGUUGCAGUUAAAAAGCUCGUAGUUGAAUUUCGGGGUCAGUAGGUCGGUCGUGCCACUGGUAUGAACUGGUCUCACUGAUUCCUCCUUCUUGAAGAACCGUAAUGUCAUUAACUUGGUGUUGCGGGGAAACAGGACUGUUACCUUGAAAAAUUAGAGUGUUUAAAGCAGGCUAGCGCCUGAAUACAUUAGCAUGGAAUAAUGAAAUAGGACGUUCGAUCCUAUUUUGUUGGUUUCUAGGAUUGACGUAAUGAUUAAUAGGGAUAGUUGGGGGCAUUAGUAUUCAAUUGUCAGAGGUGAAAUUCUUGGAUUUAUUGAAGACUAACUACUGCGAAAGCAUUUGCCAAGGAUGUUUUCAUUAAUCAAGAACGAAAGUUAGGGGAUCGAAGACGAUCAGAUACCGUCGUAGU
rnacentral:rRNA from 1 species